rnacentral:rRNA from 1 species
AGAGUAGUACUAGGAUGGGUGACCUCCUGGGAAGUCCUCGUGUUAUAUUCC